rnacentral:rRNA from 1 species
AUUGAACGCUGGCGGAAUGCCUAACACAUGCAAGUCGAACGAGGUGUAGCAAUACACCUAGUGGCGGACGGGUGAGGAACACAUAGGAAUCUACCUUUUAGUGGGGGAUAACCCGGGGAAACUCGGAUUAAUACCGCAUACGAUCUACGGAUGAAAGUGGGGGACCGCAAGGCCUCACGCUGUUAGAUGAGCCUAUGUCCGAUUAGCUAGUUGGUAGGGUAAUGGCCUACCAAGGCGACGAUCGGUAGCUGGUUUGAGAGAACGAUCAGCCACACUGGAACUGAGACACGGUCCAGACUCCUACGGGAGGCAGCAGUGGGGAAUAUUGGACAAUGGGCGCAAGCCUGAUCCAGCAAUUCCGCGUGGGUG